rnacentral:rRNA from 1 species
GAUGAACGCUGGCGGCGUGCCUAAUAUAUGCAAGUCGAGCGAACGGACGAGAAGCUUGCUUCUUUGAUGUUAGCGGCGGACGGGUGAGUAACACGUGGAUAACCUACCUAUAAGACUGGGAUAACUUCGGGAAACCGGAGCUAAUACCGGAUAAUAUUUUGAACCGCAUGGUUCAAAAGUGAAAGACGGUCUUGCUGUCACUUAUAGAUGGAUCCGCGCUGCAUUAGCUAGUUGGUAAGGUAACGGCUUACCAAGGCAACGAUGCAUAGCCGACCUGAGAGGGUGAUCGGCCACACUGGAACUGAGACACGGUCCAGACUCCUACGGGAGGCAGCAGUAGGGAAUCUUCCGCAAUGGGCGAAAGCCUGACGGAGCAACGCCGCGUGAGUGAUGAAGGUCUUCGGAUCGUAAAACUCUGUUAUUAGGGAAGAACAUAUGUGUAAGUAACUGUGCACAUCUUGACGGUACCUAAUCAGAAAGCCACGGCUAACUACGUG